AUGAUGGAAGGGAAGCACCAGCAGAUUGAGAGCCGCAAGAGGAAGUAUGGACAAGGAAAGUACAAUUCUGGAGCUCAACAGAAGCCUCGUUUAACCCCGAACUCGGGAGGAUAUACCCAUAACCAUGGAGGCCACACUCACAACGGAGGAAGUUCGCAUAACCAUAAUGGCCCCAAGAAUGGAAACGGGAAUGGAGCAAGCAACAAUCAGAACCGCUCCACUCCAGCCACACCCGCCAAGAGGGACCUAAGUCACAUUACCUGUUUCAAGUGCGGGAAGACUGGACACUAUGCCACUGAGUGCCCUGAAGCGAAGAAUGGGAAUGGCAAUGGAAGCUCUGGGAAGAAGCCCAGCCCUUUCAACAGGGGACAAGUGAACCACGUGAACGUGGAGGAAGUUGAAGAGUAG
rnacentral:rRNA from 1 species